UUUCGUGGGCAGCAAGCAGCAAAAGGCCACGUGUCAAUAAGUGAGAAAGUAUCCGUUGGAACCUGUUAUAUAAACCUGUACCUGCAUUUGCUCUGUCUUCACUUUCUCUCCUCUACCUGCAAAUCAUUUAUUUGUUUCUCUUGAAUUUCUUUGUUUCUUCACUCUCUCUCUCUCUCUGUUCAACAAAUUUCUCUUCUCUGAUCAAACUUUCCGCUGAAUUAAGCCCUAAGAUCGAGACCCACAUCGAUCAAAAACCCUAAUCGAGAUCGAUCAAAAACCCUAAUCGAGAUCGAUCAAUCAUGAAGCGGAAGCGGGCCUUUACUAUGGCAUCGCCAUGGUCAUCUACCAUGAAACCCUCGCGCGUUCCUGAAGAAGAAUCAGUCCGGUGUUGGGAGAGCAAAACGGCGUCGUCAAACAGAACCCGACCCCAAAUCCAAUCCAGAUCAAGAAGAGGAUCGAAAACAAGAAACAUCAAUGAUGUCUUAAAAGAUGAAAGAUCCAAGAUUUCUGGGAUCAACCGGAUUUUGGGGACACCCAUUCCCGUGAGGAAUAACCUGACAUGGAGGCUUUUGAAAUCUCACAUGCGAAUUGAAUCUUUUUACUGCACCAAGCUCCACUCCGCUCUCAAUGCCAUCCACGAGUGUUUCGAGCCUUCCAAAGACCCCUACACCAACAGAGACAUUGCUGAGGACAUUGUCUUCGACUUGGAAUCCGAUUCCGAGUUGAAUUUGAGAGGGUUUUACACUGUGGUUUUGGAGAGGAGAGAUGAUGAUGAUGGUCAUCAGGAGAUGAUCGGUGCCGCCACGGUGAGGAUCAAUAAGGGAGUUGCUGAAGUGCCACUCGUGGCGACUAGGCCUCAGUUUAGGAGACUUGGGAUGUGCAGGAUUUUGAUGAAUGAGCUCGAAAAUCGGCUCAUGGAAUUCGGCAUUGAGAGAUAGUAUAAUCUGAUAUCUGAUUUGGCGGAAUGUGUUCAUGAAUCUUUGUAGAAUAACAUUCACAAUGAUAGUGUAACAUGAUAUCUCUUUUGGCAGAAUGUGUUCAUGAAGUCUUUGUAUAAUUGACACUCACAAUGGUAGGGAUGUUGCGUAUAUAUUCCAUUGAACCCAUAUUUUGAACAAGAAUGUGAGCAAGUCCUUUUUAUGUUCAUUGGACACUCGUAUUUGAGAUAUUUUGUGACAUGCCACCGUUCAUGCUUAAUGCUGCAUUACUUUCACAUCAUUUCUGAUAGACCAUUGACACAGUACUACCUUAGGUUCACUUACCAAAAGCUAGUCUGUAAGAGUCUGCUUUACAUCUUAGUACUUAAAACAGCACUUACUAGAAAACAAUAGAAACCUUUGUUUUCACAAAUUGAUAAGCUGUAGUUCGUUUCGGUUAAAUAGAUCAAUCCCUUUGGUUCUUUGAGUCAAAAAUCCAACUGUUUUCUUAGUAGAUAUGAGAUUUUGUAGUGGAUUUUAGUGGUUUUAUUUUGUUAUUUUAUUUUUUUGUUCUUGAAAGUUCAGUGCUCAAUAAUUCCUCUGAAUUUGCCCUGUUUAAUUAGUGUUUGGACUCCUUAGUGUUUUAGUUUUCCUCUUUAUAUAGUAAAUCCAAAACAAAAAAAACAAAAGGCCCAUUUGGUGGAUUUUACUAAUGAUGUUAUUAAUUAAAUGAUGCUACUGACAUGGUGAUUGCAAUCAUGUAAUUACUUAACCUGUUUAUGGGCAUGUUCAUUUGAGUAAGUGCAGACCCUUAUUUCAGCAUGCUCCCUGUCAAAGAAGCACCAAUAAUGUUGCUACUGUCAUCAUAGGUGUAUUAAGUCUGUCCAUUGUAGAUUUUGAGCCCUUGUUGUCAUUUGAUAAAUUGUGUUGUCAGAAUGUGCAAAAGUGAAUUGGUAGCCGUUUUGUAAGUGACCUCUGAAAGUUAAGAAACUAUUGAGUAAAUAGUGAUGCAUGAGUUCUUGAAAAUCAUAUGUUUCACUAAAUGUUACCCGGGCUUCAAUCUUGAGCAUAUUCAGUGCACCGAUUCAGAUAUUGAGGUAUAUUCAGUGCACCGAUUCAGAAUUGACUCCUAAUAGCUUGAAGAAAGUCAGCAUCAUGGCGAGUUUGCCACCCACAUUUUACGAGUGAAGAUAUCAUGUCCCAAUUUGUUGUGUAGCUUCUGAAGAGAUGGGAUGUAAUAAUGUAGGAUCAUGGGAAGCAACUGCUGUUGGUUAGCUUGCCUAAUUCUAGUGUUUUCUAUUCUGACUGUCUUAUCUUAAUGUUGUGUAUUAGACUCUUAUAUCACUGACUUAAAUUUAUUAUGUUAUUUGCUGAAUUAUAGCUAGAGUUCCUCAGUCUCAGGUUACGUUUUCUUACCGUUCUUAAACCUCUCUUGUUUUCAAUCUUGACAGGAUAUAUGAAAUCCUUGUAAGCAUAAGAGCUGCCUUCAAGCCUUCUGGAUGUCUUGUCAAGUUAUAUCUCUGCUGUCGUGCAAAGGGCUUUACUGUUGAGGAUUAACUUGUUUACUGUUGAGCAUUAACUACUUGUAUUUAUAUAAGCUCUAUGCGCCUUUGUGUUCCCCAAAUCCUUGAACAUUACGGGCAUUCUUUGGAUGCUACAGAUGGCUUGAUUCCUUGAUGAAUUUCAAUAUUGUAAA